rnacentral:tRNA from 1 species
GCCUGGGGGGCUUAGUUGGUUAAGCAUCUGACUUCGGCUCAGGUCAUGAUCUCAUGGUUUGUGGGUUCGAGCCCCACAUUGAGCU